GGAGAGAUGGCCGAGCAUGGUUAUGGCGUCAGGUUAAGGCAUUGUAGUCUUAGCACUCAAGCAUCUAUUUCGCACAGAGUUAGAUGGACGUUUCCUGAUGGGAGUAAUCCCGCGUGGGUUCGAAUCCCACUCUCUUCA
rnacentral:tRNA from 1 species